rnacentral:rRNA from 1 species
UCCAGACUCCUACGGGAGGCAGCAGUGGGGGAUAUUGCACAAUGGGGGGAACCCUGAUGCAGCGACGCCGCGUGGGUGAAGGAGCGUUUCGGCGCGUAAAGCCCUAUCGGCAGGGAAGAAGGAGGACGGUACCUGACUAAGAAGCCCCGGCUAACUACGUGCCAGCAGCCGCGGUAAUACGUAGGGGGCAAGCGUUAUCCGGAGUUACUGGGUGUAAAGGGGGCGCAGACGGCAGCGCAAGCCAGGAGUGAAAGCCCGGGGCCCAACCCCGGGACUGCUCUUGGAACUGCGCGGCUGGAGUGCAGGAGGGGCAGGCGGAAUUCCUGAUGUAGCGGUGAAAUGCGUAGAUAUCAGGAGGAACACCGGUGGCGAAGGCGGCCUGCUGGACUGCGACUGACGUUGAGGCCCGAAAGCGUGGGGAGCAAACAGGAUUAGAUACCCUCGUAC